rnacentral:tRNA from 1 species
GGGGGUAUAGUUAAGUGGUAUAAUUCCGGUCUCCAAAACCGGAGUCGUAGGUUCGAUCCCUACUACCCCUG